ensembl:lncRNA
GCCGCCACUGCUUUCGGAGAGGUCAUCCACAUGACGGACAAUUCUGCCCCUUUAGCGGAUAAUGCCACGAUCAACCGAGCAUGGUUUGACUGCCUCUUUAAAGAAGGAUACACAUGCACCGAACACCUUCACAAGGGACACUACAACAACUUCACAAUUCAUACACAAACUGUCCGAAAUAUGGACAUGUUCCUCGUCUGUGAGAAUGCCACCAUAACUAACACCUCCCUUGGGCUUAACGUGACUUGCCCAAAUGGGGGGAAGCUCACCAACACACUCAUGUCCAUCAACAUAACUAAUGAGACCCGGGUGUUCGUGCUCACGACACCCCCUCUGACCUUCUUGCCGGUAGGAACGGACAAGCCUUUUGCCGACUCGGAUUUCUUUCGGGCUGUCCUGAACCGGGGUAAGAGGGGCUUUGAAGUGACUGCUGUGGACUUCAUUGGGCUAGUGGCCAGUCUGAUAGAACAAGUGGAGAUUAGCACCCUCUACAAGCGAGUAGGCCUAGUCGAAGAUAAUCUUAGGGAUUUUAUGCAGCUCACAACCAAGGCCUGGAUUGCCCAACAAGACAUUAAUAAAUUGGUGACCAUAGAAUUGUCGGCCCUUACAUCGGCCGUGCAAGCCUUAGCCACCCUCAUACAGGUUAACUCCGUGCUAGAGGGCCUCCCUUGCCAUCAUGUACUACCCAGGCCAAUGUGCAUGACGGCCGCCGUGCACAACGCAUCCAGGGAGCUGGAUGAGGCAAUCCGGACCUUGAAUGAGCAUAGCAAUAUGUCUGACUAUCUCAGACGCCUAGAAGAUAUAGUACUACAGAUAAAGAAUGAGACAGACCAAUAUAAGCAGCAGAUACAAAAGGACCAUGGCAUUCUCCCCGAGUGGUUUAACCAGCUUAAAUUGUCUAAUUGGCUUAAUUAUGUACUGAGUAUGGGAAGCAUGGUUUUCUUUCUCUUGGUCAUGUGUAUAUGCCUCCCCUGCUUGCUAUCUUACGUGGUACGGCUUUGGCGUAUGGUCUUAGAGCAAGUAAAAGCGGAUAUAUUCCUGCGUAAACAAAAAGGGGGAGUUGUUAGGGGCGGUCGGCCCUAGACGCCUGAGCGGAUAGGAACCUCCCUGGGAGUGAGAGCCCCCAAUCCCAGAAAGACACGGCUCCCUACACGGGGUACGUGUAAGGAUGGGAUUGGGCGAGACUCUUUGCUCCAUACAGGUGGCAGGUUUCGCCCUCGGGGCGGAUUGGGGUGGCCACCCGGAAGACAGACCCUAUAUAGACCAACGCCCCAGCUUGCUCGGGGGGAUUCCUCCGCAAUUAAUAAAACAUAUGCCUCCCGAAGCAGUGUCUGACUGAGUCCCUGCCCGCCAUCCCCCGGGGAGGGAAUCCG